GGGCCCGCACAAGCGGUGGAGUAUGUGGUUUAAUUCGAUGCAACGCGAAGAACCUUACCAGGGUUUGACAUCCUGCGAAUCUCUUGGAAACAGGAGAGUGCCUUCGGGAACGCAGUGACAGGUGGUGCAUGGCUGUCGUCAGCUCGUGUCGUGAGAUGUUGGGUUAAGUCCCGCAACGAGCGCAACCCACGUCUUUAGUUGCCAGCAUUUAGUUGGGCACUCUAGAGAGACUGCCGGUGAUAAACCGGAGAAGGUGUGGAUGACGUCAAGUCAUCAUGCCCCUUACAUCUGGGCUACACACGUACUACAAUGGCGCAUACAGAGGGCAGCCAACUUGCGAGAGUGAGCGAAUCCCCAAAAAGUGCGUCGU
rnacentral:rRNA from 1 species